rnacentral:piRNA from 1 species
UGUUUGCAGAGUGGUGUGG